rnacentral:tRNA from 1 species
GUAAUUAUAGUUUAAGAUUAAAAACGUUGAUUUUGUAAAUCAAAAAUAAUAGAUAAUUUAAUUGCU